CUACGUGCCAGCAGCCGCGGUAAUACGUAGGGCGCGAGCGUUGUCCGGAAUUAUUGGGCGUAAAGAGCUUGUAGGCGGUUUGUCGCGUCUGCUGUGAAAGGCCGGAGCUUAACUCCGUGUAUUGCAGUGGGUACGGGCAGACUAGAGUGCAGUAGGGGAGACUGGAAUUCCUGGUGUAGCGGUGGAAUGCGCAGAUAUCAGGAGGAACACCGAUGGCGAAGGCAGGUCUCUGGGCUGUAACUGACGCUGAGAAGCGAAAGCAUGGGGAGCGAACAGGAUUAGAUACCCUGGUAGUCCAUGCCGUAAACGUUGGGCACUAGGUGUGGGGAACAUUCCACGUUUUCCGCGCCGUAGCUAACGCAUUAAGUGCCCCGCCUGGGGAGUACGGCCGCAAGGCUAAAACUCAAAGAAAUUGACGGGGGCCCGCACAAGCGGCGGAGCAUGCGGAUUAAUUCGAUGCAACGCGAAGAACCUUACCAAGGCUUGACAUCCCUCUGACCGCUCUAGAGAUAG
rnacentral:rRNA from 1 species